GUUUCCUACACAUAACGUAUGCCUAUUAUGCUCUUAUAAUAUCGAAUAGCAUUUUUUACGUUGAAAACAAUACUUACAUAUUACUGUACCUAUAGUAAAAUUACUGCAUCGUAAUAAUUGUCGCGUGUAAUGUGCAGUGUUACAUAACGAAAACACUCGACAAAAUAACAUGAACGUAUAGUUAGGUACAAACCGUCGUACGUUUCGCUACCCAUA